AAUUAACUAACAAUUAAUUUGAGAUUAAUUGAUAAUUUUUAAUUUAAAUGAAUGUUUUUAUAUAACCCAGAGACUUGGAUUACUCUUAUGAGAGUUAAAUUAAUCAAAUGAACUUGGUUUAAUUAAUUUUAAUGGCCAUUAAUUAUUAUUUAAUUUAAGUACAAACCCUUUUGACCGUUAAAAGUAAAUCUCAACCAUGAAAAUUGUGUAUAGCAGGAAAAAAUAUAAACACAUUGAAUCUCAUUCUUUCCAAUCAAAUGAUGAUUUACCAAAAUGAGUAAAGUAAAUGUUAAAGGAAAUAAUCAAAGAAUCAUGUUCUUGAUUGAACGAUGAUGAUAUAAAAAUGUGUCUUAUGCCUGUGACUUUGGUGUUGUUAUAUUAUUUUGUCCAUUGGUCCAUUACUUUUAUUGUUUAGAUCUGUUUCAUUUCUGUUUAUGUGUCUCUUGUCAAAUCAAGCUGAUCAAUAGCAGCUCAAUCCAAUUAUCUUAACUGUUAAUGGUUAAAGUGACAGUAUUGACUUAUAAACUUUGCCUCUGGUUUGUGUCACCAUUUUCAUCUCACCCCUUCUUCACCAUCACCAUCAACGUUUUCAUUAUGCUGUUACUCGCCAGCUUCAAUUCAAUUCAUUUUUGCCUUUGAUUCAAAACACAACUUAACCAAUGUCAAACAACAAAAGAAACUUGGUUCAACAUGGAAGUUAUCAUUUUGAAGUAAAAGAAGGAGAAACAGAUAAUGAUGAAGAGAAUCAGAGGAUGGAAAAGGAAAGGAGUAAAAAUAGAGCGAAAAAAAGUAACAUCAAGGAAAACAAAAGGUUAUUCUGUAUUAACGCACAAGUAAAGAUGGAAUUGAAAAAACCAGAGGAAUUGUUAAUUUAUGGUUCCUCAAACAAACACAUUUUCACCUUGAAAGAGUUGAACUGAUGAUAAGAAAGUUGGAUCAACUUUGAAGUUAAACAUUUUAGUUUUGUAACAUUUACUUGUAAACUGUUAUACUUAAAUCACCACCAAGCUAUUCAAUUUCAAAGCUUUCAACAGAUAUCAAUUUCCCUUGAUCAAGACAAACCUUUGGAACCAUGACAGACUGCUAAUUAAAGAAAAGCAAAGUUUAAUUGUCCAUCAAUCAUGAAUGUGUAGGGAUAAAGCCUGGUGUAAGACACACAUUUUUUUGUGAAGAUACACUUUUGAUUUUCAUCAAAAUGUUUCAUUGAUAAGUGUUACUGGUGAUGAUGGUGAUGAUGGCGAUAGAGGCGUUGAUUUAUCUGACAAGCAAAGGGAAAUUGUCCAUUUACAGUUGAUUUAUUUGAUUCAUUUUGACUUGUAAAAUGGUCAAAGGAAACGGAUAUAAUGCUUGGACUGAUCGUGGACAAAAUGAGAGUAAAGUUGCAAGAAAAUGGAAGAUAAAUUGAUUACAAUUUGGUGGAAUAGAAUCGCAAUUUGAAUCGUUAAUCUCUUCACUUUUUUUUCCUUCUCAUUGCCUUGUUGCUUUUGCCAAUUGAACUCACAAUGCACCAGGAAAACUUACCAAGAGGCAGUAAGAGUGAAGAAGGAAGCAACAAAAAGAAGUCAAAAAAGAUUUCCAUUUGGACGUUUUGCUGAGUUUACAGUAAAAAUGCAAAUGAAAUUAAUCUAAAUACAAUUAAAUUGUAAUUGUACAAUUAUUUCGUCUUUUAAUUUACACCAAUUAUAUACCAAAGUAUGUAAAACAUUUGUACAAUAGCAACAAUGGCAACACAAAUCAAUAAGGUUAAUGAAAAAAAAAGACUUACUAACCUAAUGAAAUUGAAUACAGAAUGGUUAAAUCUAUUUAAUCAAUCGA